rnacentral:rRNA from 1 species
GACGAACGCUGGCGGCACGCCUAACACAUGCAAGUCGAACGCCCUCUUCGGAGGGAGUGGCGGACGGGUGAGUAACGCGUGGGAACCUGCCCCGUGGUGGGGGAAAACCCAGGGAAACUUGGGUUAAUACCGCAUGAGCCCGGACCCUUUGGUGGGGUUUGGGGAAAGAUUUAUCGCCAUGGGAUGGGCCCGCGUCGGAUUAGCUAGUUGGUGGGGUAACGGCCUACCAAGGCUACGAUCCGUAGCUGGUCUGAGAGGACGANCAGCCACACUGGGACUGAGACACGGCCCAGACUCCUACGGGAGGCAGCAGUGGGGAAUCUUGGACAAUGGGGGCAACCCUGAUCCAGCGAUGCCGCGUGAGCGAAGAAGGCC